rnacentral:ncRNA from 2 species
CGUUGAUUUUGCACUUCAGGAAUUUAGUUUUUCUAAAUUUUGAAAAGGGAACCCGGUCAGAUUCCGGGGCGGUUCUGCCGCUGUAUUUUUUGUUCAUUAUGAAUAAAAAAAGCCAGCUCCCCUGCCUGAAGCAUGUCUGCAUU